rnacentral:misc_RNA from 1 species
GGAAAACUAAACACAAGCAGCGUUAGCAAGGAUUGAUUCUGUCACAGGGCUGAGGGAUAUUAUCCUUAAAAACACAAAUAUCAAAAAAAAGUAAGAGCUACGAAAGCCAUGUUAUGAGCUGCAUAGUUCAAAAGGAAAAAGCUGACUAGAAAUGAGAAAGGAAAAAGCUGGUGGAUUGUAAGUUAUGAUUGACAAGCAGAUGCAUAAAUCCUGAAAAAUACAAAAGGAAAAAGCUGAGAGAUUGGAAAGCAAUGAAUAAUGUCCAUUUCAAGGGGCUCACGGGGCUUCAGAUCUUAGUAGCCUAACAUGCCUACUUUGUUUCUGUAAUAAUUUUCAACUACUUUAAGGACCCACAUAGAGGGGCAAAGCUUUAGCUUAUUCUUAUUCCUAGUGCAACUUAUUUGAUUCCAAUUACAUGUUGGUAAUUUCAAUUCCAGAAGCUGUAAGAGGUGUGGAGCUUUUCAAU